AUCUACUCAAAAAGCCUAACAGAUAUCAUCCUGGAUGUGGUUUUUAAUGAUUUGGAAAAAAAGGCAGCCCGUGGAGACAGCGAUUUGAGACAGCAGCAUAUUUAGGUUAUUUGCAGUUUGAAACACCGUGGUUUGUGAAGCCGAGCCUAAGGGGCAAGUUCGGUAACUGAGAAAGAGAUCGUGGAUGAAGAAAUAAAAAUGACGAACGUGGUGGCGGCUCUGAGGAAGGACUGCCAGAGCAUCGGUCCAUGGAUGGCAAUUUCGCGAGGCUGAGACUGAAUAAUUCAUAGAUUGAAAUUACCCUGCUUUCACCUUUCUAUUUAAACUGGCAUGAUCUGAAUCUCUAAUAAAUUUUCAAGAUGAAGUGAAACGCCAAUUUGAAUCUGAAGAGCUUUUAAAACCAGAUGCUGCAUCCCUGAACCUCCUGGUAUAUUCCACAAUUAUCCUGUGAGAACCGCUCUUCAUCACGAAGCACCAUUACCAGGGAAAAUUACUGUGAUCACAAUAGCAACAACAGGAUACCGUCAAAGGAUUUCUAAUUUACCUAAUUUGCUAAGACUGUGUGGGUUUAAUGCCCAUUGUAUGUCGCCGUGCCUGGCACCCGUGGAUUUAUCUCACACCGGGACAAAAAUGAGGCAGCGUGUAUAAUAAAUAUCUUGAAUCUGAAAGCUUAGCAAAGAACAUCCUCUUAGGUUACAACAUCUCUUUCAUCUGGUUUUAUUUUUUUCCAAUGCCUAUCCCCCAAAUGUCUGUUUGGGGGAAGUGGUGAGCCUGUCAUGGAUUUGGGGUUGAUUCUUUGAUACAGAAGAGUAUGGACUUGUUCAUUUACACGCCCUCUUUAUUUUAAUGUAUGUGAGCGUGUCCUCACCGGAAGGACAGAUCCUGUUCUGGGAGGGCAGCUUGAACAUGUGGCCAAAGUGAAACAUGCCUUUCUUUAUUUUUUGAAACCCCAUCUGCUUUCAGGUCGGAGAGCCUCUCAGGGAAUUAAAAUCCUGGGGGAUGUGUUUAAAAAAACAAAACAAAAUAUCUCAGCUUGAAAAGCUUGAGAGACACAUAUAGUAAUAACUCUGUGCAGCUUUUAUUGAAAGCAUGUAUGUUCCAUCGGGUGAUUGACUGAAGCCCUGCCACAGCUUUGGCUGUGCUCACACCUGCUCAUUCUCUGGCAAUCUGACCCAAAGAGAACUUUUCUGACAGGCUGUGUGACCCAUGGCAGGGUGACUAUGCCACCCGAGAAAGUGGCAUGGCUCGUAAGACCUCACUUCGAACAGACUGCGGUCACCUAACAGGCACAGUGAGUUCUGGAAUUCCGCUCUGAGUACAUGAAGACGGGCUGUGAGUUCCUGCUAGCCCAGGGAUUUAGGCUUUGAUGAUCUGAGCCCCUUAGCUCUGCCGUUUACCCACGGGUUCUCAGGGCUGUCCUGCUUCCGCACCAGCACCCCCAUCAGAGGAGCACAGUGCCUGGCCCUGUGUGGUGUUUGCCGUCAUCCUGUCAGCACCCGGGGCUGGAGUCCUUGAACUCAGCUGGACCUCCACCAAGGGGCCGUCUGACAGAUCCCAGCAGACCGCCCUCUCCUCCUACGUCCACACGUGCUAAUCCUGACGGCCCUCCCAGUACAGCGCCCCCUCCUAAGGUCUAAAGGUCCCCAGUACGAGCAGAUCUCAGUGAUGGCUGUUCCCUCCUAGGGGAGGUGCCAGGUCCCCUCAGGCGUCCCCCUGGAGAUGACCCUUGUUUUCCUUCGGAAAUCUGUAUUACAAAAUCAAGUCAUGGAAUAGUUACAAGAAUAACUAAAAUUUAAUUAAAAAAAGAUGGGGAGGCAGAGGGCCUUUUCCUCAUGGAGGUCAAAGGCAGCAUUGUGGAAUAUUCGUUUUCUAGCUCAUCUCCUCCUGAUCCUGUCUGUCCCACAGAACACAGCAGAUGCCUGCAGAUCUACCAGGGAAAUAAAACCCUCACUGGGGAGGAAGGGCCGCCCUGGGCCUCAGUCUGGAGAGCCGUGCGUCACAGGAUCCUGCUCUGCCCUCCGCUGUCAUUCCCUGCCCCGCCCUCGGCACAGGGCAAGACGUAGCCAGUCGAGGGGAUGUAUACACCCAGAGUCUGCUUUCCUUGCUUCUUGAACGUGCGUAGGGUAUUGGGACCCUGCAGUUCUGAAUUCCAGCACAAACAUCCCUGAACCUCAAGAGCCAUGUGGCCAAGGCUGAACGGUGCGGUCCGGUGCGCGGGGCGGUCCGGAGCGCAGCGUGGUCCAGUGCGCGGUGUGGUGCGCGGGGCAUCCGGUGCAUGCUCCCAGCCCUGGGAGGGGACGGGGCAGGCCAUCAGGGAGCGAUCGCAGACGGAUCACUGGGGACCCACAGUGAGGAGGAAGGCAGGCUUCCGGAGAGCACCUGCAGGGCAGCAAGCAUCCUCGAUUCAACUCUGGUCUCAGGAAGGCUUACUCGUCCAGGUAAGAGAGUAGAGUUUAUCUUAUUUAGCAACGUGCUGGCCUGACUUGUACCUCUGAGAGGUCUGGCACUGUGGUGGUGGGGGUAUCCAUUUGUGCUCUGGGCCCGAGCUCUGCAGGUGUUGGGUCCGGCCCAGCCCGAGUGGGCUUUCCCAGCGAGGUCUCCGUUCUCCGAGAAAGUGACUGGUUGGUGGUAAUCGUAUUAGUGGAGAAAUAAAUCUUUACUGUCAGUUACAAAGGGAGGAAGGCCACUAUAGUCUAAAAUUAGGAAGCCCAUUCUUCUGUUGAAGUUUUUAAUCCAAAAACAUUUUUUAAAUAAGCAAAUGAUAAAAGUAUGAAAGUUCAGUUUUGUGUUUACUAUGUUCUAGCAAGUGAAAAUAGUUCUAUCUACCUCUGUCCUGUUCCUGGCACAUCAGAGAGGUGUGCCGGGGUGUGUGCCUGGCCGAGCCGGGGCGCCGGCGGCCUGCGGGAGCAGUCAGGUGUCACUCGGAGUUCCCGCGGCUCAGGAUGUGGGUCCGAAGCGGCCACUUGAUGCAGCCACCCAAAGUCACCACCUCUCUUUCACUGCACUGAAUUCAAUAAUCAGUACUGAAUGGGUGAUUUUAGAAAGGUUAAGAAAUUAGUACACCAUGGAGGGAGAGUCAUUGUUUCAUAAAAUAAAGCCUGGAAUAAACGUGACCAUUUUCUCAACUGAAUUUCCUAAGAAAAUUCAGGGACCAAAAAAAAAAGAGACUUGGGGAGUGUGGAGACAGAUGUGUCUGGGACUGAGCAUGGGUUCAGCUCGCAGUAAAUGACAAGACCUGUGGACGGCGUUCAGGCCCCACAACAAACCCCAGGGCGGAUACCGAGCCUGGAGCCACACAGCUGGGCUUGGACUCCUCAUUCUGCCGCUCACCAUCUGUGUGGUCUCCGGUGACUGUUAACCCCUCUUUGGGUGUCGGUCUCCUCAUACGUAAGGUAGGAACAAUAGUGCCCUCCUCAUAGGUUAGGAAUAAGGAUUAGCUUAGUAUUUGCAAGACACUUAGGAGAAUGUCCAGCACGUAGUAGGUGCUGUGGAAGCCUUACAGAGAGGUUAUUGACUUGUUCCCCAACCACAAAGUGAAUUAAUAAAACAUCCACCACCCAACACGGAUAUUCAAACAUCAGGCAUAUUUCUGAAAAUUACACAUUGCCCAAGAGCUGAUUUUGGCCAAAAUAAAAAUAUAAAAUUUGCAUCAAUUACAUCUCUAAAGGAGAAACAAAAGGAUCUUAAAAAAAAAAAAUCCUACCGGUAUAGUUACCCUGGUAUCGUAAGUUUUUGUCCUGCCUCUUCUGCAUUUUGUAUUUUGCUUCCCUUUGUCACUCUAUUCCAGUUGGCCUGUACUCCUAACCAGGGAGUCUAUCAGGGGAGCCCAGCACUCCAGGGAGAGGCCAGUGCCACCCACAUACCACCAUCCCCUUCCGUGAGCAUCGUUCCCAAAGCACAUACUGGAUGAAAGAAAUGGGGAAAAAGCAGAGGCAUAAAAAGGAAAAUGAACCUCAACCACAAUUCUGCCUCUCUUGACACUGACUGUGUACGAUACAAUCAUGCAUAUAUGUAAAUAAAUCCCAAAACUUGGAUUGCUUUGUAACCUACCAUUUAUGAGUAUAUCAAGAGUACAUUUCCAAAC